rnacentral:misc_RNA from 1 species
GAGUUCAUGCCCUUCGGGGUAGAUCUCCCACCCUUUGUAUACUAUACCUCUGCUGCUUUGGCGGGCCGCCUAGCUACUGGCUUCGGCUGGUAAGUGCCCGCCAGAGGACCCAAAACCCUGAAUAUUAGUGUCGUCUGAGUAAAAUUUUAAUAUUUAAAACUUUCAACAACGGAUCUCUUGGCUAA